GAUGAACGCUGGCGGCGUGCCUAAUACAUGCAAGUCGAGCGAACAGACGAGGAGCUUGCUCCUCUGACGUUAGCGGCGGACGGGUGAGUAACACGUGGAUAACCUACCUAUAAGACUGGGAUAACUUCGGGAAACCGGAGCUAAUACCGGAUAAUAUAUUGAACCGCAUGGUUCAAUAGUGAAAGACGGUUUUGCUGUCACUUAUAGAUGGUUCCGCGCCGCAUUAGCUAGUUGGUAAGGUAACGGCUUACCAAGGCAACGAUGCGUAGCCGACCUGAGAGGGUGAUCGGCCACACUGGAACUGAGACACGGUCCAGACUCCUACGGGAGGCAGCAGUAGGGAAUCUUCCGCAAUGGGCGAAAGCCUGACGGAGCAACGCCGCGUGAGUGAUGAAGGUCUUCGGAUCGUAAAACUCUGUUAUUAGGGAAGAACAAUUGUGUAAGUAACUAUGCACGUCUUGACGGUACCUAAUCAGAAAGCCACGGCUAACUACGUG
rnacentral:rRNA from 1 species